ACACGUAGGGGCCUGACGUUGUUCGGAAUCAUUGGGCGUAAAGGGCGCGCAGGCGGCCGUCCAAGUCCGGUGUUAAAUGGUCGGGCUCAACCCGAUCAUGCGCUGGCAACUGGGCGGCUUGAGUCCCGUAGGGGAUGCCGGAAUUCCAGGUGUAGGGGUGAAAUCUGUAGAUAUCUGGAAGAACACCGAUGGCGAAGGCAGGCAUCUGGCAGGAGACUGACGCUGAGGCGCGAAGGCGCGGGGAGCGGACAGGUUUAGAUACCCUGGUAGUCCGCGCAGUAAACGAUGCGCACCAGGUGUCGGGCGGCAGCGCCCGGUACCGGAGCUAACGCGAUGAGUGCGCCGCCUGGGGAGUAUGCCCGCAAGGGUGAAACUUAAAGGAAUUGACGGGG
rnacentral:rRNA from 1 species